rnacentral:rRNA from 1 species
UACGUAGGGGGCAAGCGUUGUCCGGAAUCAUUGGGCGUAAAGAGCGUGUAGGCGGCCCGGUAAGUCCGCUGUGAAAGUCCAGGGCUCAACCCUGGGAUGCCGGUGGAUACUGUCGGGCUCGAGUCCGGAAGAGGAGUGUGGAAUUCCUGGUGUAGCGGUGAAAUGCGUAGAUAUCGGAAGGAACAUCAGUGGCGAAAGCGACUCUGGACCAAUACUGACGCUCAUGUGCGAAAGCGUGGGGAGCAA